rnacentral:sRNA from 1 species
UCGAUCGUUACCGGUCCGAACAUGGCCGGUAAGUCGACCUUCCUGCGCCAGAACGCCCUGCUGGCGAUCCUGGCUCAGUCGGG